AUUGAACGCUGGCGGCAUGCUUUACACAUGCAAGUCGAACGGUAACAGGCCUUCGGGUGCUGACGAGUGGCGAACGGGUGAGUAAUGCAUCGGAACGUGCCCAGAGGUGGGGGAUAACGCAGCGAAAGCUGUGCUAAUACCGCAUGUGAUCUGAGGAUGAAAUCGGUGGACCAGGCAGCAAUGUUUGGCCUCGCGCCUUUGGAGCGGCCGAUGUCAGAUUAGGUAGUUGGUGGGGUAAAGGCCUACCAAGCCGACGAUCUGUAGCUGGUCUGAGAGGACGACCAGCCACACUGGGACUGAGACACGGCCCAGACUCCUACGGGAGGCAGCAGUGGGGAAUUUUGGACAAUGGGCGCAAGCCUGAUCCAGCAAUGCCGCGUGCGGGAAGAAGGCCUUCGGGUUGUAAACCGCUUUUGUACGGAACGAAAAGGCUCUGGCUAAUACCUGGGGCUGAUGACGGUACCGUAAGAAUAAGCACCGGCUAACUACGUG
rnacentral:rRNA from 1 species